AUGACAAAAGGACUACGUAAGAAAGAACUUGAGAGACUUUUUGGUGGACAUUCUAGAGGCGACGCACAUGCCUCUACGUCAGAACGCAGAGAUGCUACACAUGACUCGCCGCCACAGGACACAGGCAGCGGAGAUGCUUCACAUGAUGCAGAGGCACAUGCUGAUCCUACACAGCAUGCUGAGAUACCAUCGCCGCCGCCGCUACGUGCAGAUGUAUUGGAGGAGCGGAGAUAUGAGCCAAAUAGUGCAGCUAUAGAAGCUACACCACUACCACCAGAUUCUAUUCUAGAUCAGCGAGUCCACGACCCAGCCAAGGUGAAAGGUGAUUGGGAAUCUUAUCAUGCUUUGUGACCUAUAGCGCAGCGUAGGUACAAACAAGCAAGGCGUAGAUGCAUCGAACUGAAAGGUACCGAGCGACCUCCUAAGCACGGUCGCAGUGCUACCAAGCCAUAGAACCUCAUCCCUGAUAUUCAUCUGAGGGCCGUGAUCCGAUGGGAGCACGGAGUGCCUGUCGGGGCAUUUGCUAAUGCUUUCAAUAAUUUUCUCACCGCUUUAGCCAAGAGACAUGAUUUCUUUAAUAUUUUUUUGACGUGGAAAUCACAACGAAUUGAUGCGCUGGUAGCUUGUUGGAGAUAUAUAUGUUGAUUUUUCUUCCUUGACGAUAACAUUUGUGCCUAGACUUACUGCUUCAUGCAAAUCAAUCUAUCGUUUAAGAGGUGGCGAUCUGAGGUGAAGAAAAAGUAUUUUGUUCAAAUAACAAAUGAUUGGGAGCGCUUCUGGCAUCUUGACGAGCGUGUAGAUGGAGUAGAAUUUUUUGCACUUUGUGAUUACUGGGACACGGCUGAAAUCCAGGCUCAAGCUGAAAUAGCAAGGAGGAACCGCAACGCUCCCCGUAGUUACGAGCACCACGGGGGCUCCAGGUCCUUUAGCCAGCAUUAUCAUCAAUUGGAGCAUGAGGGAAGGGGAGAUCUCGGACAUUUUGCAGAUCGUAUUUUGACUUCUUGGAGCCCGAAUUACGCCGAUGAAGAGAAGAAGGCGAAGAACAAG